ACAGAGCUCUCUCUCUCUCUCUCUCUCUCUCUCAUAAUCGGAUCUCAGUUUGACCCUAAUCAUCAUCAUCUCUCUGAUUACCUCUCUCUCUCUCUCUCUCUCUCUGAAGUAGGAGUACUAACUAUGGCGAUCUCAGUCCAAAAUCUAAUCAAGGAGAGGAAAUACCCGUUCAUCUUCUCUCUCCUCGCCCUAAUCCUCAUCACAUCCCUCCUCCUAACCAAAACUCAAUCUCCUAUCGCCUUCACGCUCGACCUCGUCCAAUCGCUAUCUCAAUCGACCUCUCCUUCCCCUCCGCCUCUGGUUCAAAUUUCCCCAACCUCAAACCCUGGCCCAGGGCAGCCACCGCCUGUUCACGACCCAUUGAGGUGGAGUCUUUGUAACGGCGCAGUGGCCGCGGAUUACAUACCUUGUCUCGACAAUUUCAAGGCCAUAAAGGCGUUGAAAUCGAGGCGGCAUAUGGAGCGGAAAGAGCGGCAUUGCCCCGAGCGGAGUCCGCGGUGCCUGGUUCCGCUGCCGCGGGGGUAUAGAGUUCCGGUGCCGUGGCCGAAGAGCAGGGACAUGAUAUGGUUUGACAAUGCACCUCACCCUAAGCUUGUCGAAUACAAGAAGGACCAGAAUUGGGUUCGUAAGUCCGGUGAAUAUCUUGUUUUCCCUGGAGGUGGUACCCAAUUUAAAGAUGGCGUUACUCACUACAUUGAGUUCAUAGAAAAGACUGUGCCAGUUAUUGAAUGGGGGAAACACACUAGAGUUAUUUUAGAUGUUGGUUGCGGUGUUGCUAGCUUUGGUGGCUAUUUGUUGGACAAAGAUGUUAUUACCAUGUCAUUUGCUCCGAAGGACGAACAUGAGGCUCAGAUACAACUUGCUCUUGAGCGGGGAAUUCCUGCUACUCUCUCUGUCAUUGGAACACAAAAACUGCCUUUUCCUGAUAACGUGUAUGAUUUGAUUCAUUGCGCUCGAUGCAGGGUUCCCUGGGAAUCAGAUGGUGGGAAACCACUAGUUGAACUCAACAGGAUACUUAGGCCUGGAGGGUUUUUUGUUUGGUCUGCUACACCAGUUUACCUUAACGAUGAAAGACAUCAGACUAUCUGGAACUCUAUGGUGGCUCUGACAGAAUCUAUUUGCUGGAAGGUAGUGGCGAAAGGUGUUGACUCAUCUGGUAUUGGGCUGGUUAUAUACAAGAAGCCUGUUUCAUCGUCCUGCUAUGAAACACGGAAAGAUAAUAUUCCACCAAUGUGUGAUCAGAACAAUGGGCAGAACAUUUCAUGGUAUACGCCCCUUGACAGUUGUCUUGCCCCGCUGCCAGUAGAUGGCAUGGGUAACUCGUACAUCUGGCCUGCCCCUUGGCCCAAAAGGCUUACCAGUAAACCUCCACAUUUAUCCUCUGAACGAGAUGCUGAAGAAAUCUUUUACGAGGACACCGAACACUGGUCUGCACUUGUCUUGGACGUUUAUCUGGAAGGCCUUGCUAUAAACUGGUCAAGCGUGAGGAAUGUAAUGGAUAUGAAUGCCGGUUAUGGAGGAUUUGCUGCAUCACUUCGCGAUAUGCCUCUAUGGGUGAUGAAUGUAAUCCCUGUGAAUGGGCCAGACACUUUGUCUGUAAUAUUUGAUCGAGGGUUGAUCGGAAUCUAUCAUGACUGGUGCGAGUCUUUCAAUACCUACCCUCGAACUUAUGAUCUUCUGCAUUCCAGUUUCCUCUUCAAGAACCUCACUCAAAGAUGUGAUAUUAUAGAAGUUGCUGCUGAGAUGGAUCGCAUUUUGAGACCGGGGGGCUUUGUUUUGGUUCAAGACACUGUCGAAAUGAUCAACAAUCUCACUCCUAUUUUCCGUUCGCUUCACUGGUCCGUAGACUUGCAUCAAGAACAAUUCCUUGUUGGUAAGAAGGGCUUUUGGAGUCCAGACAAUAGAAGUAAGAUUUGAAGAAGUCUUCCAUACUUGGGCGUUGCUACAGACACCGCAUGUGCACCGCACGGGACUCACCCCAUGGGUUUGUGCGGUUUGCACUUUGUGUGGCCCACCGAAGGUGUUUUUGCUGUACACAUGCGGUGUCCCCAUCUUUUUCCAUACUAUACUCAAUGUGUUUUGCUCUUACGAAGUGUUAGGAAAGGGAAAAUGCUCGUUCUUCUUCCCGGUACACAUGCGGUGUCCCCAUCUUUUUCCAUACUAUACUCAAUGUGUUUUGCUCUUACGAAGUGUUAGGAAAGGGAAAAUGCUCGUUCUUCUUCCCUGAACCGUCACAAAUUCAUGUAUCAUUGUCUCUUAAACAGCAUUUCUGGCAAUAAAAUUUGAUUUGGUCUUCCAGUU